GAUGAAGAACGUAGCGAAAUGCGAUACGUAAUGUGAAUUGCAGAAUUCAGUGAAUCAUCGAAUCUUUGAACGCAUAUUGCGCUCUCUGGUAUUCCGGAGAGCAUGCUUGUUUGAGUAUCAGUAAACACCUCAACUCCCUUUUCUUUUUUGAAAUUGGAGCUGGACUUGAGUGAUCCCAACGCUUUCUUCCAAGAAAGUGGCGGGUUGCUUGAAAUGCAGGUGCAGCUGAACUUUUCUCUGAGCUAUAAGCAUAUCUAUUUAGUCUGCCUAAAAAACAGAUUAUUACCUUUGCUGCAGCUAACAUAAAGGAGACUAGUUCUUGUGCUGACUGAUGCAGGAUUCACAGAGACAGCUUCGGCUGACUUUGUAAACUCGAUCUCAAAUCAAGUAAGACUACCAGCUGAACUUAAGCAUAUCAAUAAGCGGAGGA
rnacentral:misc_RNA from 1 species